GCCAGGCAUGGUAGCAUGUGCCUGUGGUCCUAGUUACUUGGGAGGCUGAGGCAGGAGGAUCACUUGAGCCCAGGAGUUUAAGGCUGCAGUGAGCUAUGAUAGCACCACUGCACUCCAGCCUGGGUGACAAAGCGAGACCCUGUCUCAA
rnacentral:SRP_RNA from 2 species